ACGUAAUAAUGAACAAAAAUAACUAAAACUAUCAAAUACAUAAAACAACAAAAAACUGUAAACAAGAUUUUAUUCUUAUCACUAAAUAAAUAACAUUUACAAAACAAAUAAUUACAUAAAUCACUUGAAACUAGCUUAAAAUAAAAUAGAUCAAUCUACAGUGACCUUGCUAAUGGUUCGUUUAUCGGUCGCGCGGGACCCUAAGCAGCUUUCUCUUCAAUCCUUUGCGUCUGGGCAUUGGUCAAAAACAUCGUAUGAUUUUAAUGGGCGGCGCCUAAAGCCGUUUGACCUUUAAAAAUCGUCGGCCAGGGCACGUCUCCCCGGCUCCAUUUUCGACAAACCAACUUGAAAAGUACGGCCGCGUACCUGCCUAUCGCCGCCGCGCCGAUUCAAUUUCAAAUAAUUUAUAAUAUUUAGUGCAAAUGCAAUAAAUACAGAUUGCAAAGUACAAAUUUCUGCGAGUACAAGUUAUUACGCCAUAUUUCAUAAAUAAGUACGAUAAAACUGUGUAGUGAAUACAUCCCCGAUAGGGGAUCGAAUUUGGGGACUAACGCGGAGGCAAACGCGUACCAUCUGCGGCUCAAGAUCCAAGGCGCCUCCAGCUGACAGCGACUACGUCCAGCACCUACGGCCACCAUCUACCUUCGGCCGCCCUCGCCAGGGAAGUCACGGACCGCGAAAGCAUACCCACAGUCGGGCAUCCGAACCCCGCCCUCAUAUUUUUGUAAAAGUAAUAAACCGUAAUUUUAUCUGUGUA